rnacentral:rRNA from 1 species
CUUGGUCAUUUAGAGGAAGUAAAAGUCGUAACAAGGUUUCUCCCAGAACAACACCUGCAGAAGCCUUGAAUAACAAGUCUACCAACGUGGGCAACAUCUUUACUGUGCUUGGAUACUGUCAGGGUAACAUGCAGCUGCGUAUAGCAGUCCACAGAUCAAACAAAGGUGGUCCGAGGAGGGUAACCUGCCUUGGAUUCAGAUAUGACCGGCCUACCUCUGAAAGGGUUGUAGACUAUAGUGUUCCGUAGGUGAACCUGCGGAAGGAUCAUUACAGAGAAAAUGCCCUUCGGGGUAAAAUCUCCUACCCUUUGUUUAUAUUACCUUUGUUGCUUUGGCAGGCCCGUCUCUUGACCAUCGGCUUAGGCUGGUCCGCGCCUGCCAGAGAACCCUAAACUCCUGAUUUUUGUGUUGUCUGAGUAAGAUUAUAAUAAGUUAAAACUUUCAACAACGGAUCUCUUGGUUCUGGCAUCGAUGAAGAACGCAGCGAAAUGCGAUAAGUAAUGUGAAUUGCAGAAUUCAGUGAAUCAUCGAAUCUUUGAACGCACAUUGCACCCUCUGGUAUUCUGGGGGGUAUGCCUGUUCGAGCGUCAUUUCAACCCUCAAGCUCAGCUUGGUAUUGGGUGCCACCUGGCAAUGGUGCACCUUAAAAUCAGUGGCGGUGCCAUCUGGCUUCAAGCAUAGUAAAAACUCUUGCUUUGGAGAUUUGGAUAUGUACUUUGCCAUCAACCACUAAUUUAACAAAAGGUUGACCUCGGAUCAGGUAGGGAUACCCGCUGAACUUAAGCAUAUCAAUAAGCGGAGGA